rnacentral:lncRNA from 1 species
ACCCUACACUCUGUUGACUCAGCCUCUGGUUGGCUAGAGACAGCUUUUAUUGAAACAGCAAUGGUUAAUUAUCCAACACCUGCAAAUUUCAUGGCUCCACUGCCUGCUUAUCCAGUGGAACAGAUGUGCAAGAUCAUGGACGAGUUACCUCUAGACGCUAGCAAUCUAGAGCGUGCGUUUGCCGCUGCGAGUUUAUACUACAACUAUUCAGGUUCAGAGAGUUGCUUCGAUAUGGAAAACCAUACUGAUUCUCAUGGACUCAACGGUUGGGGGUGGCAGGUAUUCAUUAGAGUCUAUAUUUUCUCUGUUUCUUCUUUUACUCACAAGGGAAAAGAAGCUAAUGGAUCAAUGGGAAAAAAAAAGGCAUGCACAGAGAUGGUGAUGCCAAUGAGCUGCUCGAACCAUACCAUGUUUCGACCAUUUGAAAGUGAUGAUGAGAAAGCAAACCAAAAAUAUUGUCUGAGGGAAUACGGUGUCAAGCCUAGACCACACUGGAUCACCGCUGAGUUUGGCGGGCAGGUUAGUAUCGUCUCUUCCUAUUUUCUUUUCCAGAUAACAUACUUCAAGCUAAGAGUCUUUUUGGCAGAGAAUAGAGAUGGUGUUGAAGAGAUUUGGUAGCAACAUUAUAUUCUCCAAUGGACUGCAGGAUCCAUGGAGCGGAGGAGGGUGAGAGUUCCUCAUCCAUAUUCUUGGUCAUUCUUUAUUUUCUUUAGAACAAAGAGUUGAUGUUAAUGGCUUUUGUCAGUGUCCUGAAGAACAUAUCGAGCAGUAUCAUUGCGCUUGUGACCAGAAAAGGUUAACGUUCUUGAAGUAUAAGAGUGAAUUACACACGUCUGUUAGAAACAGGAGACUUAAAAAAGUGUUUCUUUAAAGCAGGAGCUCACCAUACGGAUCUCAGAGCUGCUACAAAAGACGACCCUGAGUGGCUGAAACAACAGAGGAGGCAAGAAGUUGCUAUUAUAGAGAAAUGGAUCAGUGAGUAUUACAAUGAUCUGGAACAAGAAGAACAAGCUAAGUGAUAAGUUCAUUGUCUGACUACCAAAAAAAAAAGAGAGUUCAUUGUCUGAUUGUCACGUGUCUCUCUGAGUGUCUGUAAUGAGUAAAAACUAUUAUCCAAUAAUAACCUUCAUUUGGAUUUUGAUUAAACAACAUAAGCUACAAUAAAGGGUGAUUCCUGAGUCUAACGAAAGUAUAGUCCCUUUUGAGAAGAAUAUAGAAUUCAAAGGGUAAAAUAAUAAAUUAGUAAAUAAAAGUAUAGCACCUUUUUUUCAGAAAGAUUAAAGAAUUCAAAAGGUCAAACCGUAAAUUCGUUCAGAGAGCGGUUUAUACAAUAUUACCGUGAGAAACGCACCACCGACAUCUGGACCGGACCCACUGAAACGCUGUCGUUUAACUAUUUCCCUCUCUAGUUGGUUUGGUUGGCCCCAUUCACACUCAUCAGCUCUGUUUCUAAAUCUACUUUCACACACUAAAUCGCCAUUGUUGCUGCACUUCCACCACUCUGAUUCAUUUCGAUUGAGCUUUCUUUUUUUUUCUUGCUAUGGCUCGUCGGUCUGGAGAUUGCAUGAGAUGCCUGGUGAUCUUCGCGGUUGUAUCUGCUUUAGUAGUGUGCGGACCUGCUCUUUACUGGAGAUUCAACAAAGGUUUCGUUGGAUCCACUCGUAAGAGCUCUGUUUGUCCUCCUUGCGUCUGUGGCUGCCCACCUCCUGUUUCCCUCCUCGAGAUCGCUCCUGGUAUGGUUUCGUUUUUGAUUGGAUCUGAGUUUAAAGAUUGGAUCUUUUAAUCAAGCUCCCUCUUUUAGAUUUUGAUGUUAUGUUGUCUCAGCUUGUGUAUAGAUUAACAAGUUGGUGUUUUUUUCUUUUUGCAGGGCUUGCAAAUCUCACUGUUACAGGUUAGAUCUUGAUUCUGAGCUUCAUUUUGUUUAGCUGCUUUGCGAGUGUUGUUUCCCUUACUGUUAUGUUCUGUCAAGUUGUAAACUUGGGUUGAUAGUGAGUGUUAUUCCAAAGUCUGUACCUUUAUGUUUUCUGAGUUUAGGCUUUUACGAGUUAUUUGGAGAACUGAAGUUUUGAUGAAUUAGUAGCCAUUAAUCAUCUCAAUUGAAGAAGCUUUAUUGCAGAACAGGCUAGUCAUUUUGGCAGUGUUACUCUGAUAGUUAUCUUGCUGAAUGACGUUUUCUGAUAAUUUAUAUAGAGUUAUAGCUCUUGUAUUCUCCUUUGAAGUAGUACGUUCAUUCUCUAACUUGUGUUGUGAACAGAUUGUGGAGGUGAUGAUCCGGAGCUCAAACAAGAAAUGGAGAAGCAGUUUGUGGACCUUCUGACCGAAGAGCUGAAGCUGCAAGAAGCAGUUGCAGAUGAGCAUAGCCGUCAUAUGAACGUUACACUCUUAGAAGCUAAGAGAGUUGCGUCUCAGUACCAAAAGGAAGCUGAGAAAUGCAACGCCGCCACUGAGAUCUGUGAGUCAGCUAGGGAGAGAGCUGAAGCUUUGCUGAUCAAGGAGAGGAAGAUCACUGCUUUGUGGGAGAAGAGAGCUCGGCAAUCAGGGUGGGAAGGUGAGUAAAAACUGAUUGCCCCCUUCUCAUGUCAAACCCUGAAGUGUUUUUGUCUGAGAAACCGAAUUUUUAAGGGAAAGUCCUUUAUGUUCCACGUGUGUUCGGGUUGAUUAUAUAAAAAUAUAUAUUUAAAAAAAAAAAACAAAAACAAAACCGACGGCCCCGAACGCCCGGGCCUACUGCUUAGUAUGCAAUUGCGAGUUAUGUUUUGAAGUCAUGUUGUCGAACAAUGAAUAGUUUGCAAAAUGUUUUGAACAAAGGAGAGAGUUAAAAGCGAAAGCAACUGCAAACUUAUCGUGUGACAAUUCAAAGGGGACGAUUACUAUUACUACCACUCAUGUUCAACCACGAAUCUUUCGUGUACGAUGCGAUCUCAUUUUUUAUUUAAUUUGUGUCCCAAUAAGAAAUAAUUGUAGGCCGAUUGAGUCAGCGACAUGACAUGACAUGUUCAUCAUCCUGCCCAUUUUCUCACAACCACAUAACAAGACAAGAACCUUAAACUGUUCAUUUUCUUUUGAAUCUCGCCAAUUUUCUCAGAUAAGAAAACUACUGUUUGUGUAAGGGAUGAAGAAAUCUUCAUGGGGUUGCACAAUCUUUAUCCAGUUAUCUCUCUGUCUCAUCGUCUAUGUGUCUCUGCAUUUUGGUCACCAAUCUUUGUUAUCCAGCAACGACGGUGACAAUGCCGGAGCUCUAGAUCUUCAUUUCAUCUCCGUCUCCGGUGGUUUCAGGCCUCUUCAACGUCAAACUCGUCUUCUCCGAUUGGUGUGUGUUUCUUCCCAUCUUCUUUCAAUGAUGAAAGUUUGGUUCUUUAUAGAAAUCCUAGCCUCCUCAGAUUGAAAAACUGAGUCUUUUAUAUUAAUUAGAUCACACUCUUGGUUCCACCAGAAAGGAGAAAAAUGUUGAUUUUUUUUUUGCUUCUUCUUAGCAUUGCUAGUUAGGCCUUUACAAGUUAGGUUGUUGAUUUUAAGGAUAUUAUAUGUUUCCUUGGUAGAUAAGAGAUUAUUGUACUGAUGUUGUGCUGUUGUUUUGAUGGAUGAAGAUGGAGAGAGUUGCGGAAACUUACAAGGCUAAAUUUGUGGUGAGCACAAGUGAGGAUGGAGGAGGAGAUCUACUCCUGCUAAAUGUCAGCUCUCAAGCUUAAUCUUCUUAUUUGCUUACUUGAACUCUAGUGGAUAUGAACAAAAAGGUUAUGAUCUCUUUUGUUUUAGACAGUUUAUGAGUAAUGAGUGUGUUGGUGUUUUGGCAGGAUACUAGUGUUUCCUCUUCACUGAAACUUCCGUGGUAAUUUGAUUUUGUAGAACAGAUUCUUUCAGCUAAGUUACUUCAACUAUAAGACUGGUCAAUGUUAUGCAAAUUUAGGUAUACUACGAAGAAAGGAUCCGGGAGUUUCAGAGAGCACAUCGAGUUGCCUUUUGGUGGAUCCUUGGAUGUUGUUUUUGUAGACACUGCCUCGUUACAGAAGGUAGCAUCAGUUUAUAUCUGUGAAUCUAAAGGAAAUGAACAUGAGAUUUUUCUUCUGUUUUCAUACUGAUUAAUAAUUCCACCAUCUUACUGCAAUUCAAGCAAAUGAUGAGUGGAGGAUUGAAUGGCUCGAUGAUCAGUCAAUUAAAAGAACUUACAAAGAUUCUAAAAGCAGCAGAUGGAGACUGGUAAGUCUGCUACUCAGCUCAUAGACUCUCUUGAUCUCUCAAGAACUUGUGGCAAUACCGCAACAAAGCUCCUUUGUUUAUUAGUUGCUUACCUAAUUUUCUUUAUGGAUGAAACAACAUUCUAUAGUCGUUUUUGAUACAGGCGCAUUGUGGUUGGAUCAGACCCGUUAUUCGCAUAUACACUAAGUAAUGGUCCAGAGGAAGCCAAGGGAGCUGCAAGGACAUUUCAGCAAAUCACCAUCAAAUAUGGAGUGGUAAGACACUGAAAACCCCAUCACAUUCCAGAAUUUUUUUUUAUCGCCGUAUCUAGUCCAGUGAAAUGGAAAACAUCUGAGAGAAAAAACUUUGAUGAUUCAAGAACAUGUAUAUAAGCGAAAAGGGCUGUAGCAACGGAGCCAACGAAGAUAGCUUCACUUGCAUUAUGGUUCCUAAUGCAUCAGAGAACCGAGGUUUAACGAAUGAUAGUGAGAGGUAACAACUAACAACAUUAUUAAUCAUAAACAUUAUUAAUCAUAUCUCAAUAUCUCUAAUAUUAAAUGCAUAACUGUCAGGGAAAUGGAAGAUGGGUUUCUUCUUCACAGAGUUAGCUUCUCAGAGUUUGUAAGUGUACUUCUUUCUCUAGUUAUGACAUGUCCUCUUGACAAAAAGUGAAAUAAUGUCUUCUUUGUAUAUCAUAAAACAGGUUACAUAUACUAUCAACUUAUCAGGACAAGUCAUAGACACAAGAAUAGUUAAGCAAAAGGGCAAAGAGUCCAUCUAAGAUUAUUUUCAUAUUUUUGUGUGUGUUAUACCCCUCUCCAUCGUUGUAAACUCUGUAAAGCACCAACAUUCUUUAUUCUUCCUUUUAAGUGACCAAAAUACCCUUUCACAGCUCGGAGUCUCAGGUUAAUCACCGGAGGGUGAAACUGGAAAUUGCAAGCUAGAAAAAUGGGUAAUAUAAAUUUUCUAAAGGAGUGGCCUUUGGAUUUUUACACUCAUUAGUUUAAGUAUGAGGUUCUGCUCCCGGAGGGUCUCGACAUGGCGGCCAUCUAUGGCCUCGCCGUCGUUAUCUUCCGGUGGAAGCGGACGCCGAUGAUUUCAAAUCUUUCUUUGAUGAGCCACUUGAAAAAGUGGUGAUGAAUCAUUUAAAACAAUAUACUCCAUGGCCAUCACAACUACUCUGUCUUCCUCGCUUUCACAUGGAUUCCUUUUCUUUAUAUAUAUAUAUAUAAGGUUUCACUCUCUUCUUCUUCUUCUUCUUCUUCUUCUUCUUGGGAGACUAUGAUGAUUCUUAAGAAGUCAAAUGGACCAGACGUUGGUUGUGGUAAACACUCUCUUACAUGGCGGGGCUUUAAUAGCAGCCAUGGCGGAAGAGUUUUUAUCCUUCAAUCUGUCUGAGAAAAGGCGAAUCUGAGUCCUCCUCUGUGACAUGCAAAGUUUUUUUUAUUUCAUAUAAAAAAAGUAAAUUUUUAUUAGCUACUGUUAAAGCUUUGAUUCAUCAUCUUUGUAUUAUUGAACUAGUCAAAUGAUUUUUGUCAUCUCAUCUUUGGUUACAACUUACAACACAAAGAAAAUGGACAAAGCUUGCAUAUGUGUUGUUUUGCCUAAUAGUGUGUUCUUUCUACAUCUACCAUAGAAAAUGUGCGUAUGCAUGUGGUUUAGAUCAGUGUUGCCAACUAAGGAUUUCGGAUUAUAACCGUAGACAGGAAAGAAUGAACUUCAUCAUCUUUUUAUAGAUAGUAAUUAACAACUGUUAAAGCUCGCACAGCAUUAUUGGUUGCUUAAAACGUUAAUUGUGGGUCUAAACCCUUUUGUUUUCAACUGAGAGAAUGAAUGAAACAAGAGAUUAAAGAAGUUAACUUUGAAAAAUGUUGUGGUAUCAGGAUGCAAUUAUAACCUUUUGUGACAGCUCAACUAACUGAUAUGAGUGGGGCUCUGUUUUGAUCAAUAAUCUGACUCUGUGGGACAAUUAUUCUUUAUUAAAACUUGCCAGUUUAGAUUGCCUUGUUGUAUUUAUCUAUUUAUGUUCUCUGUUUUAAAAUUAUUAUCGGUGGGUGAGAGAACUUUGCCGUUACUACUUUAUUUUCCGUACUAAUCAAAGAAAAAGCUGGUUUCCAGUUUGGUUUCUUGUUUGGUAAUGAACCAGCUUACAGCUAUGUAUUGCUUAAAAAUAUAUACUGGAAAAUCUAGUGGUCCUAUUGCCAAGUGUGUUACAGUUCUGAAAUGUGGGAUGUGUUGUUCUUCCUAGUAUCAUAGCCUCAGUGACACUUUCUCAGUUAAAGGAUUAAUUUUCUGGAUACUAAUGUUCUUGGCAGUCACAUGUACCAACCUGUUUUCAGAACUCUGUGUAUAACUGGAUCUUAUAACGAACAAAUAGAUGGCAGAUUAUUGUAUAGUAAGGUGUUUGUUAAGAUGGGAGUCAGUUCUGUGUAGAUAUCAUACGUCUACUUGUGUUAGUGAUUGUUAGUCUUUUUUUGUUUGACAAUAGCAUUGUUGAGAGCAUAUGAAAAGUUAUUGUUAUACAGACAAACAUUUCCCUUAUUUAUCUCACUUUUUACCUCCACAAGCUCCAAAAGAGUUCACACUGGAUAACAAAAGCUGACGCAGACACAAGACCAAACACACAUCCUCUUAUUUAUUAUAGUCUGUUGGUUCGAGUUGUACUUUCUCAGUUCUGCACAGAGAGAGAUAUGGAGAGAAUGUCUGCUUGUUUAUGUCUUGCGUUCCUUUUAUUCUCUUUUGUUACAGAUGCAACGUAUAUCCCAAGACGUUCUCACCAUCUUUUAUCUUCGAGACAAAACAGGAAGACCUCCAAGUCAAACACAGAGUUGCCCUCUCACUUUGAGACUCGUUACUUCCCUCAGAAUCUUGACCACUUCAGUUUCCAGCCAGAGAGUUACGAAGUCUUCCACCAAAAGUACCUCAUAAACAGUCGUUUCUGGCGCAAAGGUGGCCCCAUCUUCGUCUAUACAGGCAAUGAAGGCGAUAUAGAGUGGUUUGCUUCCAACACCGGUUUCAUGCUGGACAUUGCUCCAAAGUUCCAGGCUCUUCUAGUCUUCAUCGAGGUAAAAGCUUUACCAAAAUCCCAUUGUUUGAAGAAUCUCUAACUUAAAACACUAAUGCUUAUUGUCUUUUCCUUAAUCCUUGCAGCAUAGGUUCUAUGGAGAGUCAAAGCCGCACAAGCUGGCCAAUACAUUGGGAUUCUUGAACUCACAGCAAGCGUUGGCUGAUUACGCUAUCUUGAUAAGAAGCUUGAAGCAUAAUCUAACCUCUGAAGCAUCUCCUGUCAUAGUCUUCGGUGGCUCUUAUGGUGGAAGUAAGAUUAAAAAAAAAGUCAAUAUUAGUUUCUUAUUGCUACAUUUUGCUCUUAUAAACGAUCUUCUGUUGUACUCUCUGAGACAGUGCUUGCGGCGUGGUUCAGGCUAAAGUAUCCACAUAUAACAAUUGGCGCACUAGCAUCCUCUGCUCCGAUUCUGAACUUCGAUAAUAUUGUUCCAUCUUCAAGCUUCUACGACACCGUUUCUCAGGACUUCAAGGUAUGUAUAUAUAUAUCAAACAUGGUUGUUAGUCUGUAAGCAUACUUAACUAUGAACUUUCUCAUUACGAGCAGAACGUGAGUGCUAACUGUUUUGAAGUCAUCAAGAGAAGCUGGGGAGAAAUGGAAGUAUUCUCCACCAUUAAAGAUGGUUUACAAGAACUCAGCAAAAUGUUCAGAACUUGCAAGUAAAUAAAAAAAUCUGUUUUCCUUCAAUGUUGAUUCAUUGUUUAGUUCCAAACAAUCUAAGAGAACGUUUUUGAUGAAUCACAGGACCCUACACUCUGUUGACUCAGCCUCUGGUUGGCUAGAGACAGCUUUUAUUGAAACAGCAAUGGUUAAUUAUCCAACACCUGCAAAUUUCAUGGCUCCACUGCCUGCUUAUCCAGUGGAACAGAUGUGCAAGAUCAUGGACGAGUUACCUCUAGACGCUAGCAAUCUAGAGCGUGCGUUUGCCGCUGCGAGUUUAUACUACAACUAUUCAGGUUCAGAGAGUUGCUUCGAUAUGGAAAACCAUACUGAUUCUCAUGGACUCAACGGUUGGGGGUGG